GACGAACGCUGGCGGCGUGCUUAAUACAUGCAAGUCAACGUACUUUUAAGAUAGCAAUUAGUUUUAAGGGAGUGGCGCGACGGGUGAGUAACACGUAGGCAAUCUACCUUUAGGACUGACACAACUCGUCGAAAGACGGGCUAAUAUCAGAUAAUGCAGCGGCUCCGCAUGGAGACAGUUAGUUAAAGUACAAGCGCCUGAAGAUGAGCCUGCGGUCCAUUAGCUAGUUGGUAGAGUAACGGCCUACCAAGGCAACGAUGGAUAGCUGGUCUGAGAGGAUGAUCAGCCACACUGGAACUGAGACACGGUCCAGACUCCUACGGGAGGCAGCAGUAAGGAAUAUUGCUCAAUGGCCGAAAGGCUGAAGCAGCAACGCCGCGUGAAGGAUGAAUGGCCUUGC
rnacentral:rRNA from 1 species